AGAGUUUGAUCAUGGCUCAGGACGAACGCUGGCGGCGUGCUUAACACAUGCAAGUCGAGUGCGCGUCCGUAGCAAUACGGAUGGCGCACGGCGCACGGGUGCUUAACACGUGGGCAAUCUGCCCUCCGAUGGGGAAUAACUCCGGGAAACCGAAGCUAAUUCCGCAUAACAUUCCCUGGACUCCGGUUUGGGGAAUCAAA
rnacentral:rRNA from 1 species